rnacentral:rRNA from 1 species
CAUGCAAGUCGAGGGGUAACAGGAAAGCUUGCUUUUGCUGACGACCGGCGCACGGGUGCGUAACGCGUAUGCAACCUACCUCAUACUAGAGAAUAGCCCCUGGAAACGGGGAUUAAUACUCCAUAGUAUCAUUCUUUCGCAUGUUCGAAUGAUUAAAGAAUUUCGGUAUGAGAUGGGCAUGCGUCCCAUUAGCUAGUUGGUGAGGUAACGGCUCACCAAGGCGACGAUGGGUAGGGGGCCUGAGAGGGUGAUCCCCCACACUGGUACUGAGACACGGACCAGACUCCUACGGGAGGCAGCAGUGAGGAAUAUUGGUCAAUGGAGGCAACUCUGAACCAGCCAUGCCGCGUGAAGGAUGACGGCCCUAUGGGUUGUAAACUUCUUUUGAAUAGGAAGAAACUUAUCUACGUGUAGAUAACUGACGGUACUAUUAGAAUAAGGAUCGGCUAACUCCGUGCCAGCAGCCGCGGUAAUACGGAGGAUCCAAGCGUUAUCCGGAUUCAUUGGGUUUAAAGGGUCCGUAGGCGGGUCUUUAAGUCAGUGGUGAAAGCCGACAGCUCAACUGUCGAACUGCCAUUGAUACUGGAGACCUUGAGUACA